rnacentral:rRNA from 1 species
UACGUGGGGUGCGAGCGUUGUCCGGAAUUAUUGGGCGUAAAGAGCUCGUAGGCGGUGUGUCACGUCGUUCGUGAAAACCUGCAGCUUAACUGUGGGCGUGCGGUCGAUACGGGCAUCACUGGAGUUCGGCAGGGGAGACUGGAAUUCCUGGUGUAGCGGUGAAAUGCGUAGAUAUCUGGAGGAAUACCGGUGGCGAAGGCGGCAUCCUGGACCAUUACUGACGCUGAGGCGCGAAAGCUAGGGGAGCAAACGGG